rnacentral:rRNA from 1 species
GACAGAGGGUGCAAACGUUGCUCGGAAUUACUGGGCGUAAAGCGCGUGUAGGCGGGCCGGAAAGUCGGGCGUGAAAUCCCUGGGCUCAACCCAGGAACUGCACUCGAAACUUCCGGUCUAGAGUGGUGGAGAGGGAAGUGGAAUUCCAGGUGUAGCGGUGAAAUGCGUAGAUAUCUGGAGGAAUACCGGUGGCGAAGGCGGCAUCCUGGACCGACAUUGACGCUGAACGGCGAAAGCUAGGGGAGCAAACGGG